rnacentral:rRNA from 1 species
GAUGAACGCUGGCGGCGUGCCUAAUACAUGCAAGUCGAGCGAACGGACGAGAAGCUUGCUUCUCUGAUGUUAGCGGCGGACGGGUGAGUAACACGUGGAUAACCUACCUAUAAGACUGGGAUAACUUCGGGAAACCGUAGCUAAUACCGGCUAAUAUUUUGAACCGCAUGGUUCAAAAGUGAAAGACGGUCUUGCUGUCACUUAUAGAUGGAUCCGCGCUGCAUUAGCUAGUUGGUAAGGUAACGGCUUACCAAGGCAACGAUGCAUAGCCGACCUGAGAGGGUGAUCGGCCACACUGGAACUGAGACACGGUCCAGACUCCUACGGGAGGCAGCAGUAGGGAAUCUUCCGCAAUGGGCGAAAGCCUGACGGAGCAACGCCGCGUGAGUGAUGAAGGUCUUCGGAUCGUAAAACUCUGUUAUUAGGGAAGAACAUAUGUGUAAGUAACUGUGCACAGCUUGACGGUACCGAAUCAGAAAGCCACGGCUAACUACGUG